rnacentral:rRNA from 1 species
UACGGGGGGGGCAAGCGUUGUUCGGAAUUACUGGGCGUAAAGGGCUCGUAGGCGGCCAACUAAGUCGGAUGUGAAAUCCCCAAGCUUAACUUGGGAACUGCAUCCGAUACUGGAUGGCUUGAAUCCGGGAGAGGGAUGCAGAAUUCCAGGUGUAGCGGUGAAAUGCGCAGAUAUCAGGAGGAACACCGGUGGCGAAGGCGGUUCUCUGGGCAUUACCUGACGCUGAGGAGCGAAAGUGUGGGGAGCGAACAGG